rnacentral:rRNA from 1 species
CCUACGGGCGGCAGCAGUGAGGAAUAUUGGUCAAUGGGCUUACGCCUGAACCAGCCAAGUCGCGUGAGGGAAGACUGCCCUAUGGGUUGUAAAACUCUUUUGUCAGGGAGCAACUGGCGCCACGUGUAGCGUUAUCGAGAGUACCUGAAGAAAAAGCAUCGGCUAACUCCGUGCCCGCAGACGCGGUAAUACGGAGGAUGCGAGCGGUAUCCGGAUUUAUUGGGUUUAAAGGGUGCGUAGGCGGAAUGCCAAGUCAGCGGUAAAAUCGCGGGGCUCAACCCCGCUCCGCCGUUGAAACUGGCGUUCUUGAGUGGGCGAGAGGUAGGCGGAAUGCGUGGUGUAGCGGUGAAAUGCAUAGAUAUCACGCAGAACUCCGAUUGCGAAGGCAGCAUACCGGCGCCCGACUGACGCUGAAGCACGAAAGCGUGGGUAUCGAACAGGAUUAGAUACCCGGGUAGUC